rnacentral:rRNA from 1 species
UACAGAGGUCCCAAGCGUUACUGAGAAUCACUGGGUUUAAAGGGUGCGUAGGUGGUCCGUUAAGUCAGUUGUGAAAUCCCCGGGCUCAACUCGGGAACUGCUUCUGAUACUGGCGGACUUGAGGCCAGUAGGGGUCACUAGAACUGACGGUGGAGCGGUGAAAUGUGUAGAUAUCGUCAGGAAUGCCGGUGGUGAAGACGGGUGACUGGGCUGGUUCUGACACUGAGGCACGAAAGCGUGGGGAGCGAACGGG